rnacentral:rRNA from 1 species
GACGAACGCUGGCGGCGUGCUUAACACAUGCAAGUCGAACGGAAAGGCCCUGCCUUUGUGGGGUGCUCGAGUGGCGAACGGGUGAGUAACACGUGAGUAACCUGCCCUUGACUUUGGGAUAACUUCAGGAAACUGGGGCUAAUACCGGAUAGGAGCUCCUGCUGCAUGGGGGGGGGUGGAAAGUUUCGGCGGUUGGGGAUGGACUCGCGGCUUAUCAGCUUGUUGGUGGGGUAGUGGCUUACCAAGGCUUUGACGGGUAGCCGGCCUGAGAGGGUGACCGGCCACAUUGGGACUGAGAUACGGCCCAGACUCCUACGGGAGGCAGCAGUGGGGAAUAUUGCACAAUGGGCGGAAGCCUGAUGCAGCAACGCCGCGUGCGGGAUGACGGCCUUCGGGUUGUAAACCGCUUUCGCCUGUGACGAAGCGUGAGUGACGGUAAUGGGUAAAGAAGCACCGGCUAACUACGUG